UACGUAGGGUGCAAGCGUUAAUCGGAAUUACUGGGCGUAAAGCGUGCGCAGGCGGCUAUGCAAGACAGAUGUGAAAUCCCCGGGCUUAACCUGGGAACUGCAUUUGUGACUGCAUGGCUAGAGUACGGUAGAGGGGGAUGGAAUUCCGCGUGUAGCAGUGAAAUGCGUAGAUAUGCGGAGGAACACCGAUGGCGAAGGCAAUCCCCUGGACCUGUACUGACGCUCAUGCACGAAAGCGUGGGGAGCAAAC
rnacentral:rRNA from 1 species